GAGACACCUUUAUGGGGCAAGACUUGUUUCAAUGUGGCUUUGGUGCUCACUGAUUCUGCCCGCUGAGUGUGUCCCU
rfam:Myotis lucifugus cont2.19329, whole genome shotgun sequence.